UUACACCGCCGAACGAUGUCGAACUGUACGGUUCGUAUUUUUUUAAUAUAAUAAAAUAUAUUUUAAUCGCAUGUCCGCGUGGUGUAUUUUGAUACUAAUCUUAACCCAGUCAGUCAGCAUAAAACCUGCGGACGACUGAAAUUGGCAUUCCGCCCCGGAACACUCACCGAGAAUAUUGUAUUUAGUCCUAGUUUCUACUUGCCAUUUAAAUUUUAUGUGAAACGGUAAAUGUAAAAUUUUUUUGACUUUUCGUCUAGAUAGUGUAAACGGAGACUAACAUGCUCGUGUUGGAUAUGACCGGAUAUCGCGUAUCAGUCUGCAGAUUUCGGAAAAUCUUGUCGGUGGAUUGGAAAUAAAUGGUCUUAGUUCUGUACGUCGUGUGUUAUUAUAUUAUGAAUUACUGACUAUACUGUACACUGUGUACAUAAUAUUAUGAUGUUACUUAAAUGUAUACGACAAUUCCCGAUGAAAGAAAUAACAACGAAACAGAUGUGGCUCUCGCACGAAAGUUUACUCGCCGCUAUGUGCAUUGGGUCGUCGACGCCGUUUCGUCCAGAUCACUUCUCUACGUCAGCUACAAGUUUAAUCAACCGUGUCCGAGGGUUGAAUACGGUUACGAAAUUCUAUGCCAAAUAGUGUUAUUUCGCUGUGCACCGAUGAUUUGUGAACAACGACCGAGGUUCACGUGGUUAAUGUGUAGACCGCUUGUGAAUUUUUAUAAAAACACAUAUCGAAUAAACGCUUAUUGAAUUUUUA